rnacentral:rRNA from 1 species
UACAUGCAGUCGAGCGAAUGGAUUAAGAGCUUGCUCUUAUGAAGUUAGCGGCGGACGGGUGAGUAACACGUGGGUAACCUGCCCAUAAGACUGGGAUAACUCCGGGAAACCGGGGCUAAUACCGGAUAACAUUUUGAACCGCAUGGUUCGAAAUUGAAAGGCGGCUUCGGCUGUCACUUAUGGAUGGACCCGCGUCGCAUUAGCUAGUUGGUGAGGUAACGGCUCACCAAGGCAACGAUGCGUAGCCGACCUGAGAGGGUGAUCGGCCACACUGGGACUGAGACACGGCCCAGACUCCUACGGGAGGCAGCAGUAGGGAAUCUUCCGCAAUGGACGAAAGUCUGACGGAGCAACGCCGCGUGAGUGAUGAAGGCUUUCGGGUCGUAAAACUCUGUUGUUAGGGAAGAACAAGUGCUAGUUGAAUAAGCUGGCACCUUGACGGUACCUAACCAGAA